rnacentral:tRNA from 1 species
GUCUUUGUAGCUUACAACAAAGCAUGGCACUGAAGAUGCCAAGAUGGCUGCCAAAAACACCCAAAGACA